rnacentral:misc_RNA from 1 species
AACGCACCUUGCGCUCCUUGGUAUUCCGAGGAGCAUGCCUGUUUGAGUGUCAUGAAAUUAUCAACCAUUUCAACUUUUAUCGGUUGAAUUAGGCUUGGAUGUGGGAGUCUUUGCUGGCUUCGCAAGAGGUUGGCUCUCCUUAAAUUCAUUAGCAGGACCUUUGUUGCUCCCCAGCAUUAGUGUGAUAAUUAUCUACGUUAUUGCUGAAAAGUAACUUUAGAUUGGGUUUCCAGCUUCUAAUUGUCUUUGUAGACACAUAAUGUAUAUGUCAAUUUGACCUCAAAUCAGGUAGGACUACCCGCUGAACUUAA